GCGUCAAAAAGGAAAGAGAGAAGAUCAGCGGUCUCAUAAAUGGGGCACCACCAGGGAUGUUGGGCCCCAUGAAAAGAUAUCACACUGGGUCCCACCAUUACACACAGGCAACGCCAACCAUGUGCAGUUUCUGUAACCACUCCUCUACCUGUGAAGGCUUCAAUUAUCUUAUAGUCCGAUACUAACUUUACAAUAUCUACUGACACUGAGCUGUGAUAAUAUAACACUGUGAAGACAUGCAGGAAACAUUCUGCAUACUAAUAAAGUGUUUGUUUAAUUAUAAAUUUGAUUUUCUAUUAAAAUCCAUUAAUGAUG